rnacentral:sRNA from 2 species
GGCCUGGCGACUUGGCACACAGUCUGCAUUAACCAGCUGACAAGGUAUUACACAGUGCGGUGCUCAACGAUGAGCCUCGCACGCCCCGAGAGAACGGGGCCUGGACAAAGGCGUCCUCGCUAGGUGACUAGCGGGACGCC